CUUCAUUUGCAUAAUUGUGUCCCUGAUGGUCUAGUGGCUAGGAUUCGGCGCUCUCACCGCUGCGGCCCGGGUUCAAUUCCCGGUCAGGGAAAUCAUAUAUAAAGUGUUAAAUUCCUGGUCAGGGAAUUCAAGCCAAACUGCAGAUGUUUUUAAAGUUUUCGACUUAAACUAAGACUUCAUUUGCAUAAUUGUGUCCCUGAUGGUCUAGUGGCUAGGAUUCGGCGCUCUCACCGCCGCGGCCCGGGUUCAAUUCCCGGUCAGGGAAAUGAGACUUAGAGUUUGAAUUCCAGAUCCAACUUUUAAUUCAAGCCAAACUGCAGAUGUUUUUAAAGUUUUCGACUUAAACUAAGACUUCAUUAGCAUAAUCAUGUCCCUGAUGGUCUAGUGGCUAGGAUUUGGCGCUUUCACCGCCGCGGCCCGGGUUAAAUUCCCGGUCACGGAAAUGAGAUUUAGAGUUUGGAAUUCCAGAUCCAACUUUUGAUUCAAGCCAAACUACAGAUGUUUUUAAAGUUUUCGACUUAAACUAAGACUUCAUUUGCAUAAUUGUGUCACUGAUGGUCUAGUGGCUAGGAUUCGGCGCUCUCACCGCUGCGGCCCGGGUUCAAUUCCCGGUCAGGGAAAUCAUAUAUAAAGUGUUAAAUUCCUGGUCAGGGAAUUCAAGCUUUAACUUUUAAUUCAAGCCAAACUGCAGAUGUUUUUAAAGUUUUCGACUUAAAUUAAUACUUCAUUAGCAUAAUCAUGUCCCUGAUGGUCUAGUGGCUAGGAUUCGGCGCUCUCACCGCCGCGGCCCGGGUUCAAUUCCUGGUCAGGGAAAUCAGAUUUUAGA
ensembl:lncRNA